rnacentral:tRNA from 2 species
GCCUCCUUAGCUCAGCUGGUAGAGCAACUGACUUGUAAUCAGUAGGUCGCUGGUUCGAUCCCGGCAGGAGGCUC